UUUGAUAGGUCGCCUACCUUUG
rnacentral:siRNA from 1 species